rnacentral:rRNA from 1 species
GACGAACGCUGGCGGCGUGCCUAAUACAUGCAAGUAGAACGCUGAAGGAGGAGCUUGCUUCUCUGGAUGAGUUGCGAACGGGUGAGUAACGCGUAGGUAACCUGCCUGGUAGCGGGGGAUAACUAUUGGAAACGAUAGCUAAUACCGCAUAAGAGUAGAUGUUGCAUGACAUUUGCUUAAAAGGUGCAAUUGCAUCACUACCAGAUGGACCUGCGUUGUAUUAGCUAGUUGGUGGGGUAACGGCUCACCAAGGCGACGAUACAUAGCCGACCUGAGAGGGUGAACGGCCACACUGGGACUGAGACACGGCCCAGACUCCUACGGGAGGCAGCAGUAGGGAAUCUUAGGCAAUGGACGGAAGUCUGACCGAGCAACGCCGCGGGAGUGAAGAAGGUUGUCGGAUCGUAAAGCUCUGUUGUAAGAGAAGAACGAGUGUGAGAGUGGAAAGUUCACACUGUGACGGUAUCUGACCAGAAAGAGACGGCUAACUACGUG